rnacentral:rRNA from 1 species
AGUGAACGCUGGCGGUAGGCCUAACACAUGCAAGUCGAACGGCAGCACAGUAAGAGCUUGCUCUUACGGGUGGCGAGUGGCGGACGGGUGAGGAAUACAUCGGAAUCUACUUUUUCGUGGGGGAUAACGUAGGGAAACUUACGCUAAUACCGCAUACGACCUACGGGUGAAAGCAGGGGAUCUUCGGACCUUGCGCGAUUGAAUGAGCCGAUGUCGGAUUAGCUAGUUGGCGGGGUAAAGGCCCACCAAGGCGACGAUCCGUAGCUGGUCUGAGAGGAUGAUCAGCCACACUGGAACUGAGACACGGUCCAGACUCCUACGGGAGGCAGCAGUGGGGAAUAUUGGACAAUGGGCGCAAGCCUGAUCCAGCCAUACCGCGUGGGUGAAGAAGGCCUUCGGGUUGUAAAGCCCUUUUGUUGGGAAAGAAAAGCAGCAGGUUAAUACGCCGCUGUUCUGACGGUACCCAAAGAAUAAGCACCGGCUAACUUCGUG